CGCCCCCGGCAGGACUCGAACCUGCGGCCAAGUGCUUAGAAGGCACCUGCUCUAUCCGCUGAGCUACGGGGGC
rnacentral:tRNA from 1 species